rnacentral:snoRNA from 1 species
GAAAAAUGAAGAUAUUCUGACUACUUCCUAUUUUUACAGUGAAGACCUCAGAUCCAACUCUGAUUUCACUCCAGUU